rnacentral:rRNA from 1 species
CUACGGGUGGCUGCAGUGAGGAAUAUUGCACAAUGGGGGGAACCCUGAUGCAGCAACGCCGCGUGGAGGAUGACGCAUUUCGGUGUGUAAACUCCUUUUAUAUGCCAAGAAAAUGACGGUAGCAUAUGAAUAAGCACCGGCUAACUCCGUGCCAGCAGCCGCGGUAAUACGGAGGGUGCAAGCGUUACUCGGAAUCACUGGGCGUAAAGGACGCGUAGGCGGGUUGGAAAGUCAGGUGUGAAAUCCUACAGCUUAACUGUAGAACUGCACUUGAAACUUCUAAUCUAGAGUAUGGGAGGGGGAGAUGGAAUUAGUGGUGUGGGGGUAAAAUCCGUAGAUAUCACUAGGAAUACCUAAAGCGAAGGCGAUCUCCUGGAACAUUACUGACGCUAAGGCGUGAAAGCGUGGGGAGCAAACAGGAUUAGAUACCCCGGUAGUC